rnacentral:rRNA from 1 species
CAGUCGCCGCGGGAAUACGAAGGGUGCAAGCGUUACUCGGAAUUACUGGGCGUAAAGCGUGCGUAGGUGGUUCGUUAAGUCCGAUGUGAAAGCCCUGGGCUCAACCUGGGAAUGGCAUUGGAUACUGGCGGGCUAGAGUGCGGUAGAGGGUAGUGGAAUUCCCGGUGUAGCAGUGAAAUGCGUAGAGAUCGGGAGGAACAUCCGUGGCGAAGGCGACUACCUGGACCAGCACUGACACUGAGGCACGAAAGCGUGGGGAGCAAACAGGAUUAGAUACCCCAGUAGUCCCUGUCUCUUAUAC